GAUUACGGUGAUUACAGUGCAAACUGUAUGGAUAUUUAUGAAUCUUUCGCGGAGGGUAAAUGUCUUGAGGAUGUCUUCAUGCAGUGUUUCAUAGAGUGUGUUCGUGAUGAUUCUAAAAAUCAUCGUCGAACUCUGACAUCUAACAGAUUAAUACUUGAUGUCAACGUUGGGGCUCUGUUAAAUUUUGAAGAACAGGAACGUCACAGCAAGAAUCCUCAGCCGUUUGAUCAAAAUGUCCUACAGAAUUGCUUGUACAACACAUUGCCUUCUUUGGUGAAUCUGGAUAAAUGCAAGUCGAUAAUGGUACCUAUGCUUAGCAGGGGUCAUUGGACACUGUAUGUGAUCAAUCUACACCACCGGGUUAUACACAUUUUAGAUUCGAAUCCCUAUGGUAUACAACUUGGUGGCACCGAAUGGAAGGACUAUCAUUAUGAUCCAAUUUA